rnacentral:lncRNA from 13 species
AUGAGUUCACUAAACUACUCUCUUCCUGCUGAAGAAGAGGCGGUCUGCUGGACGGAGAAAGAUGCUCUCGUCAAAGAGGAGGAGGAAGAGGAGGCUGUUACCGUGAAAGAAGAAGAGAAAGACGUUACCGUGAAAGAAGAGGAAGACGCAUUCAGAGUGAAAGAGGAGGAGGAUGUUACAGUAAAAGAAGAGGAGGAAGAGAAAGAGGAGGAUGUAGGGGAGGAGGGGGAGAUUACUGUCACAUCGAAAAAGGAGGAGGAACCUGGAUAUCUGGGCCCGGUUUCCCAAAUGCAACUUAAGGCAUCCAAUGGUUCUAACGAUGAACUCAACCGUAAGAUGGUUUUGAGAAACCGUUCCCUGAUUAACACUAAUAAUCUUUGUUGGGUUCAACACAGUUCUGAAGGUUAUUUAGCUCUGUGAGCUGCGGCCUCAAGAGUAAAAAAACUCACCAGUGACCAGUUCGUAGUACAGAAGCUCUGCGGCGCGAAACACAAUUCACUUGAAUCAACCUCAGAGCUCCAAUAAAAGGUACGUUAGCUUGUUGUGUUUGACUAACGUUAGCUAGCCAACUAGUUAACUACAUCCGCUAGCUAUAACCUACAAACAUAAUUCAGAUCUAUGAAAAUUGUAACUUUUAACUAGCUAAUAUCCACCAGUAUGUCGAUGAUAGACACGGGGUUAACUAACGUUACUAGUCUAGCAAGUUAGCUAGCUAGUUGGUUUGGAUCUGUAUCAAGUGCUAGCAAGAUAGAUUUAUCAGUAUUCCAUUUAUUUAUUUUCUAUUUAUUUUGUCAGAUGAGUUUAUUGCAUUUUUCCAGCCACUGCAGCAAAAGAGAAAUGGGGGAGAAAUGGGGGAGCUUGGACAAGAGUGUCAGGUAACCUUAACUUAGCUAGCUAACCUCAAAUCAGCCUGAAUUAAAUUAAACUUUCUUUAGUUAACUCUUUUUUUUAAAGCUUAAGCUAUUGUUUUUAUAACAAGUGUAUGGCUUACUUUACUAGACAGAGAAGAGGCAGAAUCCCGGGAGUGAGGUAGGGAUGCACGAAGGACAGAGAGGAAAGUGGAAGAGAGGAAAGUGGAAGAGAGGAGAGUGGAAGAGAGGAGAGUGGAAGAGAGGAGAGUGGAAGAGAGGAGAGGAGAGUGGGAGAGUGGAAGAUAGGAGAGUGGAAGAGAGGAACAGAGGAGAGAGGAACAGAGGAGAGAGUGGAAGAGAGAGUGGAAGAGAGGAGAGUGGAAGAGAGGAGAGUGGAAGAGAGGAGAGUGGAACAGAGGAUAGAGGAACAGAGGAGAGUGGAACAGAGGAGUAGGUAAAAGGAGAGGAGGAAGGCCAAGGGAGCACCACCGCCAACCCAAAGUGGCUUAACAUUGAUACGACUGAAGCCUUGGCUUUAUNNNNNNNNNNGGGUUAACUAACGUUACUAGUCUAGCAAGUUAGCUAGCUAGUUGGUUUGGAUCUGUAUCAAGUGCUAGCAAGAUAGAUUUAUCAGUAUUCCAUUUAUUUAUUUUCUAUUUAUUUUGUCAGAUGAGUUUAUUGCAUUUUUCCAGCCACUGCAGCAAAAGAGAAAUGGGGGAGAAAUGGGGGAGCUUGGACAAGAGUGUCAGGUAACCUUAACUUAGCUAGCUAACCUCAAAUCAGCCUGAAUUAAAUUAAACUUUCUUUAGUUAACUCUUUUUUU